AGAUGUUUUUGUCACUGAAGCUGGAGAGAUUGUACAUGAUAGACAUCCAGGAGAUUGGUUAACAAUUGCUGGGUACUACGUCUACCACCGAUGAAGCUGCUAGCAGGUAGAGAUGAAAGCGCUUAUGGAACAUAAACCACAUAGCUAAGUGAUAUGAGAUACAGCACUUUGGAAUCUUGGCAGGUAGAAGGAUUCCGUGGUAUUUAUGUCAUUGUGGGCAUGGGACAUGAGAGAAUUCUUGGGGAAAACUGACCUGUGUCUCCUGAGGUAUGGGAAGUCGUGAGUUCCAAGAGCAGCUGCAUUUGGCAUCAUAUUUAUCCAAAGUCCUGGAACAUGAAGGAGGUAACACAAGAGGACAAAAACCAGCCAAUGCUUCCUUGAGCAAAACUGAGAUUCGCAGAAAUUCCCAUGGCAUUUGAACGUAUGGUAAUUGCU
rnacentral:lncRNA from 10 species